GAAUGCUCGCAAUCAGUUUGACCGGGUGACACGUUUAUCUGACCCGCGGGGGGUUGGCACGGCCUCUGUCCUGCCCUCCCCCCCGUUGCCGGGUUGCCGGGCGGCGGCCGCGCGUGGCGCCGCUUCCGCCCGGCAAACACGAACCCCGGCGCCCUCGUGCGCCAAGGAACCCGAAAUUGUUCAGUGUGGCCCCGGGGGAGAGUUGGAGACAACGUCCCGCGGGUGCCGUCACCACACACGAAAAGAGAAUGACUCUCGGCAAUGGAUAUCUCGGCUCUUGCAUCGAUGAAGAACGUAGCGAAAUGCGAUACUUGGUGUGAAUUGCAGAAUCCCGUGAACCAUCGAGUCUUUGAACGCAAGUUGCGCCCGAAGCCACUAGGCCGAGGGCACGCCUGCCUGGGUGUCACACACUGCUAACCUCACGCAAAGGUCCGACUGACCGUUGGCCGGCGCGGGAUGUGUACGUUGACCUCCCGCGAGCUGCGACUCGCGGUUGGUUGAAAUUCGAGUCCACGGUCGGGUGCGCCGUGAUGAAAUGGUGGACGGGCGAAUGCUCGAGGCCGAUCACGCGCGACCCGGUCCGGUGCGACCCUUGGACCCCCGUGGCGUCUCCGGAUGC
rnacentral:rRNA from 1 species